ensembl:lncRNA
CACCAGGGUGGGAAACAGACACUUGCAAUAUCCUUCCUUCAUUUGCUCUUAAUUUUUGUUAUAUAAAUUCUAUAUAUUCUGGAAUAGAGGCUCUGAACUGCUGAACUCAGACUGAAGUCAACGCUACUAACGAGCUCAUUUAUAUUAAUAGGAGAUCAACUGUUCCUUUUUGCUGGAUUCCCAGCAGAACAGCUGAUGGUCUGCUUUUUCCAUGUUGGCUUUCUACUCCAACUGAAAUGCCUCAAAAAUAUUGGUUUGCUAGAAAAUUUUAGUGGAUGCCAGUACUGCUGAUGUGAAAAACAAGAGAAUAGGGAAAACCACAGAUUCUUCUGGUCAAUUAGAUCUUUGGAAAGUGGUCUAAUCUUUUGCAUAUGAUUAGUCAGCUUGUAAUAGCUGCCUUCCAACAAAUAGCCUCAUGGUUUUUGAUGACUAAUCCUGAAAAAAAAAGGAGAGAGUUAGAGCUAUGGUUACGUUAUUUGCCAUGAGCUUGUAUUUAAGAGUUCAGAUGCUGUUGAUAUAGCAUAUCAGCCUAAGACUCCUUUUCCUUUCCUGGCCUAACUGGUGAGCAUCAGCUCUUUGGAGAUGAUGGAUAAGAAAAGCUACAUUGGACAACUUAUGGGCAAAUCUAUCUGUGGGGAAUUAAUCAUUUUUGUCUUAUACCACUAGAAAAGUGCUUAUAUACUUUCUAUAUCUUUGUUUCUUACCUGUGAUUUUCUUUUCCAUUUGCUUGCCUCUUUACACUCUCCAGAGCUCCAGGGACAUCCAGACCUUCCCAUUAACAGGGAGGGCAGCACAUGGCUGGUCUGAGACCAAGAGCAGCGUUGCCCCAGACACAGAACAGGCCCCAGGGCUACCCAGGGCAGUGCGUGGAUCCUAACAGCAAGCAGAUUGCAUAUUUGCAUAAUGAUGCAAAUGAGUGAUCUGAUCGCAGCAGGAGAGGCAUGUCUUGGCAGGCCCUCAUUACCAUUGUACAUUACAAUGUUGGAAAUCAGCCAGGAAGGUUUGGGAAGAGGUCAUCCUCCCAUCAUAUACCUUGAGAGAGAUGAACUCUUGUGGGGUUUGCUUUCUGUGGAGCUGGCUGUGAGGGAAACCCACAACCUUGGUGCCAUCACCUUCCUCCAUGGCUCAGCUGAGUGCAUGGUGUGAACCACACUGUGUUGGCUGCGCUGGGGUCCCUGCAAUGAGUGGCAGCAGUUUCUGUACAGCCACACAGGCACUCAGAUUUACCAGAGGUUUGGAAGGUAAGUGCACGUUUGUGUAGCACUGGAGAUGUUUGACAAACUCUGCCUCAGACUCCUGCACUAUGGGGACUUAAUUUCUUAAGGCAUUUUUGGCUUUGCUAGUCUCUCAUGUUUCAGAAAAUAAUGUAUCCAAUUUAUUGAAUCAUCUGGCUAUUAAAUCUGCCUGUAAAGAGGAGUAAAACUAGACCAUGAACAUCUAUGGGAAUUCAUUUUUGUUAAAUAAUUUAAAUUUACACUUUCUCCUGCCUGGAUCAAUCUCAUCUGAAUGUCCCCUAGCGUUCUUCUCUCUACCGUUUGGAAGAAUGCUAGAAGCUAAAUCACUGUGCAGUUCAUUUUUAGACUAAUUAUCAUCAAGGCAUGAAAGCAGCAUUUUACAUUACAUUGUUUUUUCAGUUCAGCAGAUAGACCCAUUCAUUUUAGCUUCUAUUAUUGUUAACCACAUAUCUGCCAACACUACCAAAUGCCACUGGAUACAGCAAAGUGUAAGCCUACCUUUAGAUGAGACUUGUGGGUUCUUUGUUUAAUUAUAUAGGGAUUAAUUGGCGUGAUGCAAAGUUGUGCAAAUUUGCUCUUCAUUUCCGAAGCUAAGGUUGAUGCUCAGUGCUUGUGUUCCUAACCAGAAACCACAAACUUCCACUGCUGUGACACAUUAGUCUCAGCUUCUGCUUGGCUGGUUGCUGAUGAUACUCUGGGGCAAAUUUACCUCUAAAUGCUCCUGCCUGCUGAAUAAUAAUGAUGUCGCAUUUCUUAGUAGCUCAGUUUCUUUACAGAAAGUGGGAAGGAAGGUAAGGAAGCAGAAAGAGAUAGAAUGGAAGAACUUCUCCAUAUUUCAUAAGCAAAGAUUUUCCUACAAAAACCUGUAAAAUAUUUAAAUUCUUACUGACUUUUCUGAAAUGAACAAAAUAUAUUGAACAAAAUAU